rnacentral:rRNA from 1 species
GAUGAACGCUGGCGGCGUGCCUAAUACAUGCAAGUCGAGCGAACCACUUCGGUGAUGAGCGGCGAACGGGUGAGUAACACGUAGGUGAUCUGCCCAUCAGACGGGGACAACGAUUGGAAACGAUCGCUAAUACCGGAUAGGACGAAAGUUUAAAGGUGCUUCUGGCACCGCUGAUGGAUGAGCCUGCGGCGCAUUAGCUAGUUGGUAGGGUAAAGGCCUACCAAGGCAACGAUGCGUAGCCGACCUGAGAGGGUGAACGGCCACACUGGGACUGAGACACGGCCCAGACUCCUACGGGAGGCAGCAGUAGGGAAUCUUCGGCAAUGGGCGAAAGCCUGACCGAGCAACGCCGCGUGAAUGAUGAAGGCCUUCGGGUUGUAAAAUUCUGUUAUAAGGGAAGAACGACUUUAGCAGGAAAUGGCUAGAGUGUGACGGUACCUUAUGAGAAAGCCACGGCUAACUACGUGCCAGCCGCCGCCGUAA